rnacentral:rRNA from 1 species
GAUGAACGCUAGCGGCAGGCUUAAUACAUGCAAGUCGUGGGGCAGCAGGUCUGUAGCAAUACAGAUGCUGGCGACCGGCAAACGGGUGCGUAACACGUACGCAACCUUCCCGUUACUGGGGAAUAGCCCAGGGAAACUUGGAUUAAUACCCCAUAUUAUAUUGGUUAGGCAUCUGACUGAUAUCAAAGCUUCGGCGGUAACGGAUGGGCGUGCGGUUGAUUAGGUAGUUGGCGGGGUAACGGCCCACCAAGCCUACGAUCAAUAGCUGAUGUGAGAGCCUGAUCAGCCACACGGGAACUGAGACACGGGCCCGACUCCUACGGGAGGCAGCAGUAAGGAAUAUUGGGCAAUGGACGAAAGUCUGACCCAGCCAUGCCGCGUGAAGGAUGAAGGUCCUCUGGAUUGUAAACUUCUUUUAUCUGGGGCGAAAAUCGGUUAUUCUUAGCCGCUUGACAGUACCAGAUGAAUAAGCACCGGCUAACUCCGUGCCAGCAGCCGCGGUAAUAC